UUUUCAGUUUACCUGCUGUCAGUAUUAUGGUAUAGAUUACGUACAGUAAUAGAUGAGUUGGGUGUAAGUAUACUUAGACAAAAAGGGGUUAAGGGCAUUUUGUUCAAUAUCUCUCAAUGAGUCAGGUGAAAGACAGGCCAGUGUCUGCAAACAUUUACAACGGCAGUCUAUUUGGCAUAAGGUUUGUGCUUCAUUUAGUAUGCAAUAGUUUCGUUGGACCACAGAAGUCAGUUUCUAAAUCCCAUCUGAGCCACACACGCAAAGUUGAGCUGACGUCAUAAACGUUUGCAAAGCACCUUGGGCUGAGGCAGGUGGAGGCCAUCCUCCUCAAGGGUAGGAUUGGCUAAUAGCAGGGCCAGAGACACACCUGUGAGUGUUACUGCUAAAGGGGAUUGGCUAUAGCCCGAAAAUUACACCUGUGGGGGUGGGGGAAGCUACUAUAUGUAAACCAAGCCGUUUACAAAUUCAGUCUCUCCGACCAUGAGCUUAAACAGGUCACAACGCCUCCUGUAACUUUGACAUCUUCAAGAGACAUAGGCUUCAGCAUUGACGUUAACUUUGCUCUAGUUGCAUCUACCUUCUAGAUGGGAUGCAGUCGGUUCCCAAAUUAAGAUGGUCUCCUUCCACCUGAAAGUGAGGCAUUCUGCAGCGAACAGGGCGUCGAACGUCGAGAAGAGGGAAGAGGAAGACGAGUCUCCAAGGCGGCACUACUGACUUACCGACAACGGUAUCUGGUUUCGAGUUCACGGGACCACUCUAAGGAAGAAACGGCAUUAUUUGGACAGUCUUCGCCAUCUUACGAGGCAGCAUUGGAUAUCAUCACUCUCUCUAAUACUGCCUGGUAAUGAUGAUGAUGGCUCUCCGCUGACUCCAGAAGAAACCACAGCUCACACCAAGGUGGUUAUCACCCCACCCAGCUUUAGUUAAAGAAUACUGGUCCGUUGGCUGUUAAACCAGACGUGCUGAAAGCUGUUUCCUCAUCCCCUCCCCCUGGGUUCUGGGUGCCUUUUGUGAUGGCAGCUAAGCUCUGAUUGGACAAGCUCGUUUUACCUGCGUGGCACAUCCUGCAACUGACAUAUGAGCUCACCUGUACAUGAUAAAAAUAGAGUUAGCGACAACCUACACUCUGCUGCUCCUCUUCCCAUUGCCAGGUUCUGCUUAUAUAUCUUUCUAAAUACUGUAGAUCACAUCUAUCCUGACAGUAUACGACAUUUAAAGACAUUUAUUACAUUGCCUGAGCAGAGCAAACACAUCAUACUAAAGAGAUCAGACCUUGGGAAAGUACCACUGUAAAACUGACAUCUAUAGCCUAUAUUAACUAUUUAAAUGUCUAUGCUUUAUAUCAGGAAACAACACAUACACAAUGUCCAACUUUUUUUACAACAUACUAUUUGGUUAAGGUGGAAGACUCAAAUAUUAAACCACGCCCAUGGGGGACGUUUUCAUUUAUGUGAGUCAUGUUUGUUAUUCAUGGCCUUUUUUUUUUAUAAGUGCGUGUUACAAAGUCAUGUCAUUUACCUACAUAAAGCGGCAGUACUUCAGGCUUUUCAUCUCUCCUUUUGUUCUCCUGUUUUCACCUCUGUUCUUUCAGACUUCAUUGUAAAUAUAAUUUUGGAUGACUACAGCAGAUGGCUUUAUUGCUCUUCAGUCACAGGAUCCAACUUUUCUUUCAUUUCUGUUUUAUAUCUAUUUAAAGCCUGCUGAUUGGCGUCUUACCAGACAUGGUUAGAUCUGAUUAUUUGUGUCUAAUACUGUCUGGUAAUGCCGUCGAUUACAUGGCAUCAGCAUCCAAAUGACAGAAGAAAGGAAAGAUGCUCCUAGGAGGUUAUUUUCAUUCCUUCUGUUUAUGCCAUACGAUGUCUUGGUGUUCUUUUUUUUUUAAAUUAACAAUAUUAUUAUUAAGGAAGUGAUAAGAAUGAAUCACUUAUAGAACGGUCUGAAUCAUUUUGCCAGAUUAGUCAGGACUUUCAAUUACGACAGACUGAGAUGUUGGUUUAAUCUGUACGAGGAACUAUGAACCUAACACUGGAAGACUGCUGCCAUUUAAAAUUCUCUUCCAUGUGUCAUGAGUCAGAGUUUCUCUCCUCCGCUUCAUGAGAGCUGUGAGUCAUGUUUGUCUUCCAUCAUCCCGUCUUCAUAUAUGUGUCGAGAGUUGCGUACCUUUCAAAAUAUAAUUACAUAAAGUGUAUAGCCUUCAUAUUAUGCAACAUUUGGAUAAAUAUGAACGUUGUGGUUGUUGCGGCAUAGAAGAAGCAUGUUCUCAUUGUGUUGCCAUGGUAACUGAAUUCCACAUAGUACACUGAGUACCAACCCUCCCCACCCACAAAAAAAAGACAGCUCAAUAUGAUGACUACAUGAUGAUAUAUUGUAUGAUGAUAUACAACGCAAAUGACUGUCUUCUCUGCGAUUACUGGAUUCAUUGGUUUAAUUUUGGAUGCAUGGAUUUGUAUUGUGCAAAAAAAUAAAUAAAUAAAUAAACAAAUAAAUAUAAUAGAUGUAAAAUCAAAA